rnacentral:rRNA from 1 species
UACGUAGGGGGCAAGCGUUGUCCGGAUUCAUUGGGCGUAAAGAGCGUGUAGGCGGCCAGGUAGGUCGGUUGUGAAAACUGGAGGCUCAACCUUCAGACGUCGACCGAAACCAUCUGGCUAGAGUCCGGGGAGAGGAGAGUGGAAUUCCUGGUGUAGCGGUGAAAUGCGCAGAUAUCAGGAGGAACACCGGUGGCGAAGGCGGAUCUCUGGGCCUUACCUGACGCUCAGGCGCGAAAGCUAGGGGAGCGAACAGGG